UGCAUUUUGGGCAUUUUCUUAUUGUUAGAAGAGGCUUACUUUUGCUCUAUUCACAAAUAUUUAAAUUUUUGCAGAGUGGUGAAGUUGAGAGAGUGAUGGGACAUGGGUGACAACUGGAUUAGAACAAGUACGUCAGGAAUUGUGUCCAAGACUAUUCCUAGCAGCUGCCCCUCUCUGAUCACCAACCAUGAAGAUCCAAUCUGGGCUAUAUUUCAGGACUGAUGACCUUUCAAUAUUUCCUAUGUAUCUGGAAUACAAACUGCU
rnacentral:lncRNA from 1 species